rnacentral:lncRNA from 1 species
AAAUUCCCCCACACUUAAAAUGCUUUCUCCUCCCGGAUAAAGACGUCACAUGAGGGUGAAACCUAAUUUUUUUAUUUUAUUUCCUUUGACACCUUCUCCUUCUCCUUUAAUAUAUCACUUGGGAUCCAAUUUUCAUCAGAAUCGGAUUCAGAACUAGUAUCUUCAUCCACCAUCACGGCCUUUCCUUUUGCUUUUCCAUCCACAAUGGUCUUUGCUCUUUUUUUGGAGGAUGUCCCUCUUGAAUUGUUAGUGCACUUGUGGAGGAUGGAUAUAUUUCAGCAAAAUCAACUACAUCAAUAUUGCUCAGAUCCGGUAAAUUACUGAAGAAAUUACUGCAUGAUUUAAUAUUGUAUCCAAUGGAAUAGGUGUCAUUGUAGUGUUGGGUUAUUAGGUUGCUGUUGAACUGGUGUCUGAAUGUCAUCAGGGAUAUAGAACCUCGGGAUUGGAGUGGUGGCUGGAUUUGCCUAGUAAAUAGGCGGAAACUCGUCAUUCCUGUUAAGCCCCAUAUUUCAGCCUUCUGGCAUUGCAUAUUGAGAGAGUACAUAUCAUAGAUGAGUUAUAAAUAAUGUCUUGCAUCUGUAUAUUCUCCACUCUCUGAAAUCCCCGAUCAAUUCUUCCUUCCAAGUUCCCAAAUCUCUGCUCCAUAUUAUGAAAGCUUAAAUUCAUCCUUGCAAAUUGUUUGGUAAAUUUCCCAAUUUGGUGUCGGACAGCUCUUUUAUAUUGGCUUUUAGCCUCUGGCAGUGGUUUAUUCCCUCUUGGUCCUUCCACUCUCUUCAUUCUAUUGCAAAAUGAUUUAUUAAUGUAUUUGGAAUACCUGUAGACAAUCACUCUUGGGCUAGGAUGGACACCAUUUAUUUUACAAAGUAAAGUUAUGGUAGAUGGGUACCAUAAACUUCUCAUAUUAGGAUCAUUUCUACAAUUAAUCAUGUGGGUAUCUACCCACAUUUAGAGGUUUUUUCAUGCAAAUAGCAUAGAGAAAUGCUAAUCCAUAUGUAUAGAUGUCAUAUUGAUGUGAGUUUGGGAGUAACCUACUGCGAAUAAAGCUCAAAAUUUGCCUUGCAUAGUAGCCAAUAUUCUUGCGAAGAAGUUUAUUUUUUUGCCCUUCAAAAUUAUAUGACUAAUUUUCUCCUCUUAGACAUAAAUCACUCCACCAAAUCACAAUUUGGAUUUUCUAGAAAAAAGCAUUGUUUCUUUGUCAUCAACUUCUUCAAGAAAAUGAAGACAAUUAAUAGUUUCAGCAGAAAAAUUAAUAGGUCUUCCUCCCACCAUGAAAAUAUUUGUGACUGAGUUGAUGUUUUGGUAAAAUUUUAAUACUAUCUCAAGGCAAAAAAUCACCAGGUGGGUGUGAUAAUUCUUCCCACCGAUUAUCUUGGAUGAGUUGAGCUAUGAACUAAUCCCAAAUUACAUCUUGUUCAUUAAACCAAAUCCCUUUUUCAGGAAUUGGCCUUCGGUUUGAGCUCCUUUGAAACCAUCUAUCGCCAUCUCUUUUUGGGGGCAUUUUGGUAGUAAGGAAAGAAGAAAUGAGCUAAGGAAGAAAAUCAACUAGAAAUGAAUUUUUUUUGGAUGGCUCAAACUAUGAAGUUGGGUUAAUUUGUUCCUUGCCUUAAAGAGUGGAUCCCUACUUUUACUUAUGGAAAAAAGACAAUUACUAAAGUUCUUCAGAAGUACAUAUGCAUCAAGCCUUUUUGCUAAAUGCAUCAUAAAUUUUGCUUCAUUUUUUUUGUUCCUUUUCUUUUAAAAUAAAUUAUUUGUUGUACUAUAUUGUGUCUGAUGCCUUCAAAAAAUAUAACUUGAAUCAUUUUUGUGA